rnacentral:rRNA from 1 species
AGUGAACGCUGGCGGUAGGCCUGACACAUGCAAGUCGAACGGCAGCACAGUAAGAGCUUGCUCUUACGGGUGGCGAGUGGCGGACGGGUGAGGAAUACAUCGGAAUCUACUUUUUCGUGGGGGAUAACGUAGGGAAACUUACGCUAAUACCGCAUACGACCUACGGGUGAAAGCAGGGGAUCUUCGGACCUUGCGCGAUUGAAUGAGCCGAUGUCGGAUUAGCUAGUUGGCGGGGUAAAGGCCCACCAAGGCGACGAUCCGUAGCUGGUCUGAGAGGAUGAUCAGCCAAACUGGAACUGAGACACGGUCCAGACCCCGACGGGAGGCAGCGGGGGGGAAUAUUGGACAAGGGGCGAAAGCCUGAUCAACCCAAACCGGGGGGGUGAAGAAGGCCUUCGGGUUGUAAAGCCCUUUUGUUGGGAAAGAAAAGCAGCAGGUUAAUCCCCCGCUGUUCUGACGGUACCCAAAGAAUAAGCCCCGGCUAACUUCGU